rnacentral:rRNA from 1 species
CAGGACGAACGCUGGCGGCGUGCUUAACACAUGCAAGUCGAACGGAAAGGCCCUGCUUUUGUGGGGUGCUCGAGUGGCGAACGGGUGAGUAACACGUGAGUAACCUGCCCUUGACUUUGGGAUAACUUCAGGAAACUGGGGCUAAUACCGGAUAGGAGCUCCUGCUGCAUGGUGGGGGUUGGAAAGUUUCGGCGGUUGGGGAUGGACUCGCGGCUUAUCAGCUUGUUGGUGGGGUAGUGGCUUACCAAGGCUUUGACGGGUAGCCGGCCUGAGAGGGUGACCGGCCACAUUGGGACUGAGAUACGGCCCAGACUCCUACGGGAGGCAGCAGUGGGGAAUAUUGCACAAUGGGCGGAAGCCUGAUGCAGCAACGCCGCGUGCGGGAUGACGGCCUUCGGGUUGUAAACCGCUUUCGCCUGUGACGAAGCGUGAGUGACGGUAAUGGGUAAAGAAGCACCGGCUAACUACGUGCCAGCAGCCGCGGUGAUACGUAGGGUGCGAGCGUUGUCCGGAUUUAUUGGGCGUAAAGGGCUCGUAGGUGGUUGAUCGCGUCGGAAGUGUAAUCUUGGGGCUUAACCCUGAGCGUGCUUUCGAUACGGGUUGACUUGAGGAAGGUAUGGGAGAAUGGAAUUCCUGGUGGAGCGGUGGAAUGCGCAGAUAUCAGGAGGAACACCAGUGGCGAAGGCGGUUCUCUGGGCCUUUCCUGACGCUGAGGAGCGAAAGCGUGGGGAGCGAACAGGCUUAGAUACCCUGGUAGUCCACGCUGUAAACGGUGGGUACUANGUGUGGGGUCCAUUCCACGGGUUCCGUGCCGU